AUUGAACGCUGGCGGCAGGCCUAACACAUGCAAGUCGAGCGGAUGAAGGGAGCUUGCUCCUGGAUUCAGCGGCGGACGGGUGAGUAAUGCCUAGGAAUCUGCCUGGUAGUGGGGGAUAACGUCCGGAAACGGGCGCUAAUACCGCAUACGUCCUGAGGGAGAAAGUGGGGGAUCUUCGGACCUCACGCUAUCAGAUGAGCCUAGGUCGGAUUAGCUAGUUGGUGGGGUAAAGGCCUACCAAGGCGACGAUCCGUAACUGGUCUGAGAGGAUGAUCAGUCACACUGGAACUGAGACACGGUCCAGACUCCUACGGGAGGCAGCAGUGGGGGAUAUUGGACAAUGGGCGAAAGCCUGAUCCAGCCAUGCCGCGUGUGUGAAGAAGGUCUUCGGAUUGUAAAGCACUUUAAGUUGGGAGGAAGGGCAGUAAGUCAAUACCUUGCUGUUUUGACGUUACCAACAGAAUAAGCACCGGCUAACUUCGUG
rnacentral:rRNA from 1 species